rnacentral:rRNA from 1 species
UAGGGAAUCUUCCACAAUGGACGCAAGUCUGAUGGAGCAACGCCGCGUGAGUGAAGAAGGUUUUCGGAUCGUAAAGCUCUGUUGUUGGUGAAGAAGGAUAGAGGCAGUAACUGGUCUUUAUUUGACGGUAAUCAACCAGAAAGUCACGGCUAACUACGUGCCAGCAUCCGCGGUAAUACGUAGGUGGCAAGCGUUGUCCGGAUUUAUUGGGCGUAAAGCGAGCGCAGGCGGAAUGAUAAGUCUGAUGUGAAAGCCCACGGCUCAACCGGGGAACUGCAUCGGAAACUGUCAUUUUAGAGUGAAGAAGAGGCGAGUGGAAUUCCAUGUGUAGCGGUGGAAUGCGUAGAUAUAUGGAAGAACACCAGUGGCGAAGGCAGCUCUCUGGUCUGCAACUGACGCUGAGGCUCGAAAGCAUGGGUAGCGAACAGG